rnacentral:rRNA from 1 species
UACGGAGGGGGCGAGCGUUAAUCGGAUUUACUGGGCGUAAAGCGUGCGCAGGCGGCCCGUUAAGACAGGUGUGAAAUCCCUGGGCUCAACCUAGGAAUUGCGCUUGUGACUGGCGGGCUCGAGUACGGUAGAGGGGGGUGGAAUUCCUGGUGUAGCAGUGAAAUGCGUAGAGAUCAGGAGGAACACCGAUGGCGAAGGCAGCCCCCUGGGCCUGUACUGACGCUCAUGCACGAAAGCGUGGGGAGCAAACAGG